rnacentral:rRNA from 1 species
CUAACAUGCAAGUCGAACGAUGAACCACUUCGGUGGGGAUUAGUGGCGAACGGGUGAGUAACACGUGGGCAAUCUGCCCUGCACUCUGGGACAAGCCCUGGAAACGGGGUCUAAUACCGGAUACUGACCACUGGGGGCAUCUUCAGUGGUCGAAAGCUCCGGCGGUGCAGGAUGAGCCCGCGGCCUAUCAGCUUGUUGGUGAGGUAGUGGCUCACCAAGGCGACGACGGGUAGCCGGCCUGAGAGGGCGACCGGCCACACUGGGACUGAGACACGGCCCAGACUCCUACGGGAGGCAGCAGUGGGGAAUAUUGCACAAUGGGCGAAAGCCUGAUGCAGCGACGCCGCGUGAGGGAUGACGGCCUUCGGGUUGUAAACCUCUUUCAGCAGGGAAGAAGCGAAAGUGACGGUACCUGCAGAAGAAGCGCCGGCUAACUACGUGCCAGCAGCCGCGGUAAUACGUAGGGCGCGAGCGUUGUCCGGAAUUAUUGGGCGUAAAGAGCUCGUAGGCGGCUUGUCACGUCGGUUGUGAAAGCCCGGGGCUUAACCCCGGGUCUGCAGUCGAUACGGGCAGGCUAGAGUUCGGUAGGGGAGAUCGGAAUUCCUGGUGUAGCGGUGAAAUGCGCAGAUAUCAGGAGGAACACCGGUGGCGAAGGCGGAUCUCUGGGCCGAUACUGACGCUGAGGAGCGAAAGCGUGGGGAGCGAACAGGAUUAGAUACCCUGGUAGUCCACGCCGUAAACGGUGGGCACUAGGUGUGGGCAACAUUCCACGUUGUCCGUGCCGCAGCUAACGCAUUAAGUGCCCCGCCUGGGGAGUAMGGCCGCAAGGCUAAAACUCAAAGGAAUUGACGGGGGCCCSCACAAGCGGCGGAGCAUGUGGCUUAAUUCGACGCAACGCGAAGAACCUUACCAAGGCUUGACAUACACCGGAAABGUCUGGAGACAGGCGCCCCCUUGUGGUCGGUGUCCAGGUGGUGCAUGGCUGUCGUCAGCUCGUGUNGUGAGAUGUUGGGUUAAGUCCUGCAAAGAGCGCAACCCUUGUCCCGUGUUGCCAGCAGGCCCUUGWGGURCUGGGGACUCACGGGAGACCGYCGGGGUCAMCUCGGAGGAAGGUGGGGAGGGACGUCAAGUCMUCAUGCCCCUUAUGUCUUGGGCUGCACCACGUGCUACAAUGG